GACGAACGCUGGCGGCGUGCUUAACACAUGCAAGUCGAACGGAAAGGCCCUGCUUUUGUGGGGUGCUCGAGUGGCGAACGAGUGAGUAACACGUGAGUAACCUGCCCUUGACUUUGGGAUAACUUCAGGAAACUGGGGCUAAUACCGGAUAGGAGCUCCUGCUGCAUGGUGGGGGUUGGAAAGUUUCGGCGGUUGGGGAUGGACUCGCGGCUUAUCAGCUUGUUGGUGGGGUAGUGGCUUACCAAGGCUUUGACGGGUAGCCGGCCUGAGAGGGUGACCGGCCACAUUGGGACUGAGAUACGGCCCAGACUCCUACGGGAGGCAGCAGUGGGGAAUAUUGCACAAUGGGCGGAAGCCUGAUGCAGCAACGCCGCGUGCGGGAUGACGGCCUUCGGGUUGUAAACCGCUUUCGCCUGUGGCGAAGCGUGAGUGACGGUAAUGGGUAAAGAAGCACCGGCUAACUACGUG
rnacentral:rRNA from 1 species